rnacentral:lncRNA from 1 species
AGCUGCCUUGACUGAGUAAGUCAGAGAAGGCUUCCUGGAGGAGAGCGAAGGGUGUGGGGCUGGGUUGAGAUACAGGAAGAUCUGGGUUUGAAUUAUAGUUUGGCUGCUUCCUAGCUGUUUGAUCUUGGACAAAACUUUCAUUCAUUCUAUAUUUUUUGGAGUGUCUACUCCAUGCCAAUCAUGUGUGAAAUGUUGGGAUAACAAAGGCGAAUUCAAUCUGGCUCUCGUCCUCGGAGCUUAAGCAAAUCAUCUGGGGUAGCGUGACCCAUGCUACGAUGGAGGUGGAAUACGGGGCUGCAGGGCGGGGCCACAGGACAUAGUGGGCAGCUUAACCUCCUUGAGCCUCCCUAUCCCUAAUUCACGUGAUGGGGUUUGUAACCACUUCUCACAUCGUUGAGAGAAAAGGGUGAGCCUGACUCAGAGGUGUGGCAAAGGAAGGGCAGGGCAGGCUUUAAGGACAGGGACAGGGCUGUCAGAGGCUGAGGCUAGGGAGGGGCAGGAAGGGGUGUGAGGCAGGGCGGAAGAGAGCAGGGCCCUGGGCAGGUGCUGAGCCAGGUCCUGCAGGUCACCCAGUCGCUUGAGUCCACGAAUGCUGGAGGCAGGCACUGGAGAGCCAGGGUGGUUCAGCCGCAGCUCCUCUGAGCAGGGAGUCAAACAGGGCUGAAACAGACACCAGCUCUCCAGGACCAGCUGCUCCAGGAAUCAACCUCUACCCUGAACCAGGUCCCUGAGGACCACCACGUGGCUGCAACACAGCAGGUGUGGGGCAGGGCACAAGUGGGCUUAAGGGGGGUAUAAGGGCUGGCAGUUUGCUCAUUGAUUCACUCAACAAACAUGUACUGAGCACCUCUAAAGGGCCAGGGCCUGUGCUAGGCACUGCGGUGCCAUGGUGAGCAAAUCCAGAAAUGGACCCUGCCCUCUAGGAGUUCACAGUCCAGAGGAGAAGCCCGAUGCUGAACAGAGAAUCACAUCCGUGAGCAACACAAAAGGCAAGGCAAACCCUGGGCAGAUGCCCCCGGGACUGUGUGUUAUGGGCCUACAGGAAGCCUCUCCCAAUGAAAAAGCAAUUUUUCAGCCAGAACCUCCACCAGUGUCUUUCAAACUGUGAGUGGCAACCCAUUUGUGGGUCAUAAAAUCAAUUUAGUAGUUGUGACCUGAAUUACUUGUUAGUGAAAUAGAGAGGAAUUUACAACAUCACACUUAGGAAAUACUGUUUUGUGAAAUGUUAGUUUCAGUUAUCUAUCUAUCUAUCUGUCUGUCUGAGAGAUCAUGUUUAUUAGUUAAGAUAUUAAAUGUAUUUCUUACUGCAGGUCUCAAUCAAAAACCUCUGAAAGCCACUGGCCUAGAGUUAGAGGAAGAGUUAGCCAUGAGAAAUGGUGGUGACACAGGUUCCAAAAGAAGAAACAAUAGGUAUCAGGCUCAGAGAUGAAAGGGCUAGAAGGAGGACACACCAAGUUCAAGGUCUGGCCUUUCUCGAGGGCAGUGGGGAGCCAUGGGAGGUUAGCAAGAUCCCAUCUUCUUCAUCCCUGGGCCUCACCCCAUGGGCAGGAGGGAAAUGGCAGGAAGUUGUCUUUGUGUCUCCCCAGGAGCCUGGACCUGUGGCCUUCCCUGCCUCCACCUGGGCCUCAACCGUCACGACCACCUGGCCUUUGAGGUAGGGUUUGGAGAAGGAAGUCAGCCUAUUAUCAGGAGAAGGCUUGAAUUUCUAUAUUCAUAGCUUGUUUCUGUCACUUACUAGCCUUGUGAUCAUGGGCAACUUGUCUAAUCUCUGUCCCUCAGUUUCCUCCUUUGUAAAAUAGGUCUCAUAGAACUCAUCCCCAAAAGUCCUUGUGAAGAUUUAGUUUGUAAGCCAGAUGUCUGCAGACCUCCAGUAAAAGAAUAUGUUUUUGGUAUUAGUAUGUAUGUCCCAAAUAUUGCUUGGAAUAUGCUUAUACAAACAAAAAUCAUUUGUUUUUUAUCUGAAAUUCAAAUUUACCUGGAUGUCCUGUAUUUUAUCUGGAAACCCUACACAGAAAUCAAAUGGCUCACGCUGUGUCUCAGAGCUGCAACGAUCCAACGCCCUCCAUCCUUCAGAGGCUGUCUGAGUCCGGGGACACAACUCCCACCCUCCUCUCCUGCCAGCCGCGGCCCGUGGCUGCUCUCUUCACUUCGUCCCGCUUCGCCCCGACUGUGGAUCUACCCGCUCCCUUCUCCCUCAGUCCCCAAAGCACCAGACUCACAGGCCUGCUGUGUGACCCACUUUUACCGACCUUUCGGGGAGAGUAGAGGGCAUUUGUGACUCAGCUCAGAGCAGGAAACACAUCUCACGUCAACUGUCAGACAGCGCUGCUCCGAAUCCCAUCACAGUGCUCCAGCAGGGGGCGUCCUCACCGGCCGCGGCCACAGCCACGGCUCAACCCGGCCUAGCUCCCAGACACCCUCCUUCCACCGCCUGUUUUCCACCGUCCCCGCCUGCUCUUUCAAGCCAGCAGCAAACAACACCCUAAUCCGUGUCUUUAUUAUUCAAAGACCUUAAGCACUCUUUCCCACCUCGUUCCCAUCUUGAUUAUUUCAGGGAAUGAAUUAGGGAUUCACCUUUACAAUCAAAAAAGUUCUCUCAAAGCCAGGCUACUGGAGUUCUAAUUCUGCCUUCCCACUUUUACUAGCUGUGAAAUCUCAGGAAAGUUACUUAACCUCUCUCUGUCUCAUUUUCCUCAUCUUUAAAAAACAGGAUGAUAAUAUUUAGCUCCUAAGAUGGUUGUGAGGAUUUAAGUGAGCUGAUAUAUCCAAGAAUGUCUAGAACAGCGCGUGGCAGAAUGGGCAUUGCAUAUGGGUUUAAUCUUGUAACUGCCAUGUUUCACCAAUUCUAAGGUGUAUCUCGUUUCUCAUCAUAAGAGCUCUUCCGCUCGUGUGGCAGCUGGGAGUGGCCGUCAUUGCCUGCGCAUACCUAAACUUGGUCAGCAGCCAAGUGUUUUGUGAGACCUAAGAAAGGAAGAGCCCCAUAAGUAAAUGGAACUGUUGUGUUGUUUUAUUACCGAGAAAAGGGCAGAAUGAUUGCUAGUCACACGUGAAGCAAGAAAACCCCGGCAAUAAAGCUUGCAGAAUGAGUGGCUGAGGCUUGAAAAUAAAUGGUGGAAACAAUAGUGGACAAUCUUUUAAAGAAUGGCACAUUGCCAAUGCUCCUGAUGGCACAGAAGGUGACACCAUGCAGAAAAUCAAGGCUCUGAGUCAAAGAGGGUUUCAGAAAAAUUGGACUCUGAAUGUGAAGAAAUCUGGGGACUAUUUUAGCCAAUUUGUUUUGCCUAUAAUUUCCUUUUAUGCAUGCAAAAGAGCAAUUCUGAC